UUUCAGAUAUCAGUGAUUUCUGUGAAUGCUACUUUUCAGUAUCUGUUAUUCUUAACUGCGAUUUGUCGCAGUUAAGGAACGUAGGUCGUGUAUCCCUCCGCCACUGCUAUUUUUGCUACUUCCGCGAUUUCUGUGACUUACCACCGUAUGAAAAAGUUACAUCUGCCCACACAGAAAAUUGCAUCUCAACAAACCUGUCAUUGGUACCCGAAGUACAUUUCAGUCACUCAGUAAAUUGAUAACUCAAAAUAUCAUUGUCAACAGAUCUGGAGAAAUUGCCACUGCGUCUUUAGACCGUAUUCGUCAGACGAGAGACACAGUUCUGACUCUUUGAUUACUGGUUGCUGUACGUAUCUAUCCAUAUCAAGGUUGUUGAGAGAGACUCGUGAAGAUUCAAGACAGCUCUUAGAGUAUUUUGCAGUUUAAAAGUGACGUAAUUGUGAAAUAAGUGUGCAGAUGAGUGAUUAAACAGUGUUUUGUUGAAGUUGUUAUGCGAUUUUAAAGGAAUAAUAAAUGUUAAAUAGAGUGA